GUGUGUCAAGAAGGCCUAAACCUGCUGUUUCCUCCAGUUCACUUAGGUCUCUAGUCAGAGGGACAACCCUGAAGAGGUUAAGUGGCUGUCAAGGCCUAGUGACAUCCUCAUCCCAGUGGCUUGAUGCUCAGAGAGAGGAAGGAAGAUGAACGCAGGACUAGACCAAUCAGCAGGUACCAAAAUGGUUAUUCUCUGCAGCUCAAGGUAUUUGAUUCCCUGAAGGACCAAGCCAUGGACAGGAAAACUCGCUUCCUCAAGGCUAGCUGACACUUCCUUUCAUGUUUGGAAUCGCUGACUUCAAAAAGGACCACAUGGUUUUAAAGAUCAGAUUAACAUCCCUUUUCACUAUCUUAAAGUCAGCUCGGGAGGUUCAACGCAUCUGCCAAGUUUCUCACCUCUGAAAUAAAGGCCUGGAAGAAAAGCCA